CGCGCCGGAGCGGAGACAAAGGCCUGUUUCUCGGAGUGCGUCGGUCGGUCCGAGUUUAGGAAGUCUGUAUCAUCAAGAAAAAACUGCAGGUGGCUGGAAGAUGCCGAUCAGCUGCCAGUCUGGAUAGUAGCCAUCAACUCAGCAAAGGGGCCCAUGCACCGUUUCCGCAGGGCCCUGCUGUGGGAGCUCAUGGAGGUGGCACGGUGCAUGGAAGAACAGAGUGGCUGACAGUGAGCUGCCCAAGCAAGCUGCUGGCUCUUGUGACUGUCUCUGAAAGCCUCUGGAUGGGCUAAAUUGCAGACGUGCCUGGACAUUUAUAAAUGGUGCUGCUAUCCAGCUCUACGUCACAGCCAUGAAGUGGGGUGAACCAUGGACAACUGCUGUCAUAAGUACUCCAAUCGGCAGAGCCACCUACUAGCUGUGAAGCCCAGUUGCCAGGCAGCAGAUACUCGACCAGCAACCAGCCUUUGUCACUCGAGUGGGACACGAGAGCGACAAACAGAAACAAACGACAGCUACAAGCCUCCAACCCAUUCAGCAUGCCCGUGAUGGUAC